GCCUGGGUGACCCAGUUGGUUGGGUGUCUGACUUUGGCUCAGGUCAUGAUCUCAUGGUUCGUGGGUUCCAGCCCCGCAUCGGGCU
rnacentral:tRNA from 1 species